GAGAGAGGAAGUAAGCAGCACGAGGAGAAACUAAGAGAUUCCUUACAGAUUCAAGUAUGGCAGUGUUUUAACUAUGUGUACUGGAAGAAUGAUUGCAAAUUGAAAUGACUUUGUAACGAAGCCUGAGUUAGCAAAAAAAAAAAAAAAAGGAAGAGAAAAGGAAUAUUCAUUUUUCUGAAAUUAGCAGAAAGAAUAACACUUGGAGAAAACAUUUAUCAUUAUGUCAGCAAGGAGGUAAUGUUGAAGAUAGUUUCUACGUGUCUGAGAGAUGGACAGACACAACCUUUAUGGAGUGCCUGAGAGUUUGAGCUACCACACGUAGAUACCGCCAUCAAGAUUUCUACUCCAGCUGAUGGUUGGUGAGGAAUAGUGUGAACAGAGACUUCCUCAGGGAAUGAAGAUCUUGUUUUCGUGACAGCUUCUCCAAAUUUUUUUUUUAAAAUACAUAAAAAGGAAGGGAGUAUAAUUAUGCAGAAAUCUGGCUAAGCAUAAUUGCUAUU